rnacentral:lncRNA from 1 species
GAAGUGCUGCUGAGUCUUCUCUAUUUGAUGGGGGAGGGACAACAGGAGGUUUGGAAUCUUAAGGAGCAAGAAGGUUCUGACUGGAAGAUAGAUAGUUCUCUCAGCCUUGAAAUGGAAAAGGGGAAGGUCUGACCAAGACUUGAUCCUGAGAAAAGACUCAUCUUUUUCUCCUGGUGACUGGACAUCCUUCCCCCCAUCAAUUCCCAACCAAAGUGGCCAGCUGGAGAAGACAACAAAGACUCUCUACCAUUCUUAUGCUAACAGUCUGUAUGAUGAAGCUUCCAGGAUUCUUCUUUUGAUCAUGUGGGUACUCCCUCUACUGGUGAACAUAGGACUCCUACACUGGAGAAUACUAUCUUCAAGACUUUCUGUGGCUGGGAAAAAUCAAUGUAUUCUAAAGAGAUACUCAGCCCUUGCCUACAGUGAUGCACUGAAGAGUCUCUUUCUUGGAUAUUCUGAACUGAUCAUUUAAUCCAAGUUCCUUAAGGAUGACCCAUCUGUCAAGUCUGAUGGCCCUGACCUAGUCUGGAAUUCAUAUAUUUCUACAAACAAAUGUGCAUGCUUUGACCAUCU